AGCGUAGGUGGCCUAACAUGUCAACUGUGAAAACCCGGAGCUCAACUCCGGACUUGCAGUUGAAACUGGUAGGCUUGAGGACGGUAGAGGAGGACGGAACUGCCAGUGUAGGGGUAAAAUCCUUAGAUAUUGGCAGGAACGCCGGUGACGAAGGUGGUUUUCUGGGCCGGUUCUGACACUGAUGCUCGAAAGCCAGGGGAGCGAACG
rnacentral:rRNA from 1 species